rnacentral:lncRNA from 1 species
UUGAUAAUUUUUGAAGGGAGUUGUUCUCGCUAGCUUUCCCAUAAGUCUUCUAUUGACAAGGGUGUAUUUAGGAUAUGAAGUUUGAAGGUAAUUGUCUGCCAAAUGAAUGAAGCAUAAGAAUAAGAAAUAUACAAGGCCACACUUACACUGACUUGGGCCUUCGUAGCUUUCGAUGGAGUUCAUACUAGCGAGUGUCUAAGUGGGGACUCAUGUGAAGACCUUCUAAUUCUUAUAGUUGUCAUCUCUUCAAACUCUCCUCUCUCUCUACCUUGAAACCAUCCAAUUUUCCUCUCUCUCUUUUUUGCACUUACUGCAUUCUUUGUAGCCAAAGUGGAUCUCUAAUCGCCGAAUAGGGAGGAAUGGAUUUAGGAAAGGAAACCCUAGAUGGAGAAGAGGGGAGAAAAGGUUAGAGAGGGACUGCAAUACUUUCUUUCCACAUCAUCCCUGAUGCCAUGUAAGUAUGUCAGGUGAUAUUACUUGACGGUGGCCAAAACGAUUUUAUAUCCC